AUCACUAUACCGAGGAUUGUAGUUCAGGAAAGCAAAGCCGCGUGCUUGAUCAAUGGUGUGAAAGAGCGGGUUCCAGUCAAACAUAGCCAGCAUAAAACUGGGGAGCGUGUUGGCCACGAACAUCUUUCCAGAAGCGAUCAUGUUGGCGCGCUG
rnacentral:ncRNA from 1 species